UCAGAUUAUUUAUUAAGAGCAAAAGUCGGGCCAUCCCAUCGUGUGAUAUUGCAACAUGAAAAGUCACAUACAUACUAAGGAGACCCCACAGAAUUGAGAGCCUUUCAACAGUACAGAGCCAUAGAUUACGAAGUUAAAAUACAAAUGAUCCCCCAGAUUUGGCAGGAAACAAGUACAAUAUGAGGAGGCCUGGAAUGGAAGGGCACUUACUUUUCAAUAAGGCAGUUACAAAAUGGGAAAAAAAACCCCCAAAACCUUGUACCCCAAAAUAUACUCUGAUGAGCGUAGCAGACAAUAGAAAUGUAAAAGAAGGAUCCUGUAUAACCCUCUGUCAUUGGCAAAUAGGAAAGACAAGGGACCCAAGUACACACACAGCAUCUGGCUGAAGGUAAAACAUUUCCCCAGGUUUCGCUUUGGAAUAAAGAUUCUUUCAGACACAAUUGAACAGAUGGAUCCUACCAUCAUAUAUUCUUGUGCAGAAGCUAUUGUCUCUCUCAACUGGGAAAACAGAUUUGCUGCUAAAGAAAUAGUGAUGUGACCUACACGCCCACAAUUCUGGUUUACGUAUCAGAAAAAUACACUUUUUUACUCAUUAAGAUAUGGACAUUUCCAUGGAGCAAGUUAACAAUGCCUUAACCUGCAGGCCCCAUCUGCCCCUCAGCCUUCUUGAUGCCUGUAUCAACAUCCUUCAGCUGUAAGCAGGGAGAGAAUCUCUAAACACAUAGUGAAUGUGAAUGACUGAAAACACUCACAGAGCACUGGACAUGCCAUCCACAGCCAGGAGGCAUACCAAAAUAGGAUGCCCUCACAGUCCAGAGUAUAUUCUAUAUACAACCAUUUAUAUAUAUUUAAUUUAAAAGGCUGCAAUCUGCUAGACAUGCAUUUUGAACACAGGCGAAAGCUUUGCUGCAAUGGAACAUACUGCAUUUUAGUGAGCGUGGUGACCCUGUCCCCAUUCCACAGAAAGCGUGGUACUCUGCUCCACAGAACUGAGACCUUUGGACACUCCGCCGCCCUGCUCAGUAGGGGGUUUAGUCCUGACUUCUCUGUGAUGGUGCUCAGAUUAAGUCAUCUGUGAAACUCUCUGCCAGGCCAGGCUGUCCAUUGUUCUUAUUAUUUAAGGCUUAAGAAAUUAACUCAGAAUUGAAACUGAGUAGGAAAAUGACACCUUUGACCAUAUGUCAAGAUGGUCAUAAAUUAGAAUCCAAAUUCUUUUCUUUUCUUUCUCCCACCCUCCUACCCCAUACCCUCUGCCCUCCAUUACACAGAUUAAAGAAUUUUGCAAAAGCACAUUUUUGGAUAUAAAGCUUUGUUUUCACAGGAUACUUUGGCUCUGAUAUAAUUAGAUUGAGGAGUUCAACGUUUUGAACAACAAAAAAAUUAGGUAAUUUUCAAAAAUUAUUUUAGCAAUCUUUCUCCCUAAGAGGGAGGCAAAUUGUUCACAAAAAUGAGCAUCAGAUGGAAUUGACCUUUGUUGCCCAAACUCAUGAUUUGCUGAUGACCAGAGCCCAGGGAGUCAAGGCCAGCCAGACUUUCAAUCCUAAGCUGAACUUCUGGGCAGGAAUCACAUGGCCCCUGGCAGCUUGCAUGGUGGUUGUGAACUUAGGAUGAAAACUUCUAAAAAUACUUGCCCCAACCUACUAAAUAUGUCAGUGUGUCAAUGCAUUUAUUACCAAGAAGCUUGGCUGAAGUCAUAAUAUCUAACUGCACCCCAAAGAGUGAAGCAUAGUGGGGUGCAUAAGGGACCGUAUCUUCUGUGAGGGUCUCUAUAUCAGUGUUUCUGGAACCUCAACGAAUAGUUUUGCACAUGCAACUGUCCUGAAAUCCUUAUCUGAUCAGAAACUUCCUUGUUGGUGCAUCAGGAUUUCCUCCACAUUCUAGCAGUUAAGUGGUGAGCAACAGAAAUGGCAGAGGUCUCAGUCAUGAGAGGUGUGAAGCGGAUGUUACAAGGCUGGCACUAUUAGUGACAGCUCAAUUAGCCAAUACCUACUGAUUGAGUGCCUACUGUGUACAAGGCACAGGGUGAGUGAGGGGGACCAGUGUCAAACUGAUCUGCUGAUAAAUGACAAAGCUUGCAACAAAGCGGGCGGGAUAUCUAUGUCGCCAGCGGGCAGCAUGCAAGUCCAGAUGUGGGUCUGCUCAUGCACUUCCAUGGCCAAUUGCACCUUGCUGCUAUUCCAAGCUACAGCUCACACGUGGCAGCCUGGUGGAUAAGGUGAUUACCAAAAUAUUUCUUAUCCCACAUUUCCAGUAGAAUUGAUUUAAUGCUUUGUUGAAUGCUGAAAUACAUAGUUUUUAAUU
rnacentral:lncRNA from 1 species